AAUGGCUGGCCGGCGUGGACGGAAAUUAAAUGGAGGCCGGAGGGAGUAAUCCCCGCAAAGCGCAUCUCUGGCCGCCCUCGUGGAAAAUCCUUCCAGCCCCUGGGCUCCCGCCCCGCGCUCUUCCACCCCCCACCUCGACCCCACCCCGGCAGUGAUCGCCUCCGGCAAACUGAACCGUAACCUCGAGAAAUGGAGAAGGGAGACCAUUCCUCACAUCACUAAACAUUUUGUGUGAAGGCCAGCACCUGAAAAAUGCUUAACUACUUGGUGGGAUCAAAUUUCUCAAAGGCAGAGGUCAUCUGUCCGUCCAGGCAGCUAACGAGCCAUGAAGACUAAAUGGAACAUGGGAUCCUGGAUGGCUUCCUGAACCACAGAAGGGACAUUAGUAGGACAGCUGGUGAAACAGGAAUAGUACCGUACCAAUAUUAAUUUCCGGAUUUGGGUAACCGUACUGUGUUUAUGCAACAUCUGGAGAAUUGGGGGAGGGGUGU